UCCACUGGCUAUGUGCUCUGCUUCCUGUCCUAUGGCAUCCAGUUGAGCCAGCCUCUGUUGCAUGAUCUGCAAGCGACAGAGUUGGGAUUUACAGCCAGAAACUGUAAAUCUUGCUUCAACCUUUUGCAAGAUGCGCUCAGUUUAGCAGAUGAGCGUCAUGAUUGUCCAACAGCUCACCUGAUCUUACUCUUCAUUCCGCAACCAAGACAUCACAGAUUGGUUGCUUAUUCUGGGACAGCACAGCACAGCACAGCACAGCCCAUUAAUUAAUUGGUUGAGUGAUGCAUCGGGGUCGGAGCAAUCCCAAACUAAGCUCGCCUUGCUCCCCGAAGGCCGUCCACAAGGUCAUCUCCCGCUUCUCCCUCGACAAGAAGCAGCUCGUGCGGUCAAUCGGUUUCGGGGGCUUGCUGGAGCUGCCACUGCACAGGAAGAUUGGCCACAGGUUCUCCCUCUGGCUCCUCACCAAGGUAGUACCAGACAGCACUGUCGCUAGCCAUCCUGCAGCAGCCGGCAAAGUAGCCGGCAUGCCGUUCUACCCAAACGACGUCAGCAAAGUGUUCGGCGUACCUUCCGGAGGAUGUCCGGUGCCCAAACUGGUUUCCGACGAGGCCAAGGCGAUCCUGCGCGGGGCGCUCGGCUUGGGCGAAGGAGACGACAGCAGACCCAGAAUCCUGCAUGCCGCAAAGCAUGUACUGAAGAGGAAAUUUGGUCGGGAAUGGCGGAGAAGGACCAGGCUGCAUUCAAGAUCGCGUUCGUGGUCUUCGUUGUGGAGAAUCUGCUGGCUCCGAGGGAGACAGACUCUGUAUCCCUGGACUACUUCAUGGCCCUGCGGCGUCCCGAUGAGAUUCACACGUAUGACUGGUCCGAGUUCGUCAUCCGUGUCGUGCUGGACUCUGCCCGCCAAGUUCAGGCCGCUUUCGCUCAGGGGCGGCCCGUGGAGAAUCUGUUUGGAUGCAUCCUUUUCUUACAGAUAUACUAUCUGGAUAACUUGGAUUUCGGUCAUGAGAAGAAUCUGUUGCAUGACCACACACCACGAUGCAAGGCGUAUGACUACGACACGAUUAAGAAGCUCGCCAAAGCGGAUCGCACCAGUUCUCGUGUUGGUUGCUUACGGUCCUUUGGAAGAAAGUUGGCACGAGAGGCAUCUGAUGUUUGUUAUGAGUGUUCUAUCGCUCGAUGCGGUUGCCAUGUGAACGGUGUUGUGGUUGGUUCAGCUGACGGUGGAGAUCAGGAUGGCCACUCUGAUGAUAUAGUCUUCACGGAUGGUAGAGUUUACAAUCAGAAAAUUUUAUGUGACGUGUGUGGAGAUGUUGGUAUGGAAGAUCUGGUGAUGUUCUGCGCUUGCGGUGCUACUGUGCAUCAAUAUUGUUCGGACCCGGUUGUUCUUGAUGCAACAUUAGUACAAUGGUCAUGUGAUGAAUGUCAGGCAAAGCAAGACAAUGCUGCUGCUGACAAAUUAUCAGAAGAGGUGCUGAACCGUAAGCGGCCAAGUCAUUGUCUAACGGACUGCGCCACAAGGGAUCAGUCAAGCAACAAAAUUGCAGUGGCAACAAACGGUAUCUCGAGAAAGGCCUAUGUGCAAAAAGGAGAUCGGGAAGAACAUUUCGCGUAAGAAGUCCAGCUCAUGUGUUUGCUGACGUUGACAGGUCAAAUUCUUUGUACCCCAAGGGAUUGUUUAGAGGAACAUAUGUCACAUGUGUGCGUCUAUUAGUGCACUUUUGUUUUCAGAUUAAACCUUCUGGUUAAACAAGCUCACGUCUAAGAACAUAUGAUCAGAUUAAACCUUCUGGUUUCCUUGCUGCCUUUCAACUAGUACUAGAAUCAUGGCAGUAACGAGGUGGAUAUAUGUCUCAAAAAGGUUUAGUGGUAGUAUUUCUGAAAUUUUUAGAUGUUGACGAA